rnacentral:rRNA from 1 species
UACGAAGGGUGCAAGCGUUACUCGGAAUUACUGGGCGUAAAGCGUGCGUAGGUGGUCUGUUAAGUCUGAUGUGAAAGCCCUGGGCUCAACCUGGGAAUGGCAUUGGAUACUGGCAGGCUAGAGUGCGGUAGAGGAUGGCGGAAUUCCCGGUGUAGCAGUGAAAUGCGUAGAGAUCGGGAGGAACAUCUGUGGCGAAGGCGGCUCACUGGCCCGGUACUGACGCUGAGGCGCGAAAGCGUGGGGAGCAAACAGG